rnacentral:lncRNA from 1 species
CACUAUUGUUAUUUCUAAAUAUCUAAUUAAUGUUGCAUUGUACUCAAGUUACAGAUUUUUUUCUUUCACAGGCUUGCAAUGCAGAACAGUUGACAAGGUGGUGCUUCCACCAUAUUUCAACAAAUUACGAUAAAUUUCAAAACACGGAACAGUUUUCUCAGCUCAGUGACCAAACCAAAAAACACAUUGAAACAAAUCGCUGGCCACCAUUGUCCUAUUUACAAGAUUUUGAGAGAUUUAAGCGUCGGAGGCAACAAAGAAUAUGCUCAGUUUUAUAAUAAUGUGCAGUUUUAUAUGAACAUUUCUAUAUGACUCUAUUUAUGCAUUAUUAUUUAUAUUUAAAUUUCCUUCCUCAUAAUAGCCUAAAUAUCUUUUAUUAAAAAAUAC